rnacentral:tRNA from 1 species
UUGGUGGAAGCCAAAAAGAGGCUUAUUACUGUUAAUAAUAUAAUUGAAUUUUUAUUCCCACCAAG